rnacentral:ncRNA from 1 species
AGUUUGGAUUGAGGUCUGCAACUUGACCUCAUGAAAUCGGAAUCGCUAGUAAUCGCGGGUCAGCACACCGCGGUGAAUACGUUCUCAAGUCUUGUACUCAGAAUGAAAUGCGCUUGGCAGUUUGUCAAGGUCUAGUUGGUUAAAAUCCAACCUUCCAUUAAGGAAGUAGUGAAAGGGUAAGUCCUCA